AAAUAGGAAGCGAAUAUUGCAAUCAGUUUCGACCUGAUCAUCUUGAUGUUAACUCAUCCUUAUUUA
rnacentral:tRNA from 1 species